ACGGAAGGCAGCAGUGGGAAAUAUUGGGCAAUGGGGGAAACCCUGACCCAGCAACGCCGCGUGAGGGAAGAAGGUUUUCGGAUUGUAAACCUCUGUCCUAUGGGAAGAAGGAAGUGACGGUACCAUAGGAGGAAGCCCCGGCUAACUACGUGCCAGCAGCCGCGGUAAUACGUAGGGGGCGAGCGUUGUCCGGAAUUACUGGGCGUAAAGGGUGCGUAGGCGGCCUUGCAGGUCAGAUGUGAAAUACCCGUGCUUAACAUGGGGGCUGCAUUUGAAACCGUAGGGCUUGAGUGCGGAAGAGGUAAGUGGAAUUCCCGGUGUAGCGGUGAAAUGCGUAGAGAUCGGGAGGAACACCAGUGGCGAAGGCGACUUACUGGGCCGCAACUGACGCUGAGGCACGAAAGCGUGGGGAGCAAACAGGAUUAGAUACCCUGGUA
rnacentral:rRNA from 1 species